GGCGGAGUAGCUCAGUCGGUCAGAGCGAACGGCUCAUAAUCGUUAGGUCGUGGGUUCGAGUCCCACCUCCGCUACCG
rnacentral:tRNA from 1 species